rnacentral:snoRNA from 1 species
CUGGCAUGAUGAUGAAGACAAUUGUUGUCUGAUAUAUUUGAUGAUUAAAUCCUCCUACUCAUUCUGA